ensembl:lncRNA
CGAGCGGGUGCUUGGGUGACCUUAGUGUCCAGAGAUUUCUGCAUGUGCACUUUCUACUUCUCCCAGGGACGGCAGUGCGGUGGGUUUUCUGCAGUAUAUGAAACGACAUCCUUCGGGUCCCCAUGGAUAAAAGUUUGCAGACGUUAAAUCAGGGGAACAUCCGGGGAACUCAACUACAAGUGACAUAAAACCAGUCACAAAAAUGCCGGGGGAUGCAGUUAUCGAACGAGGAACAUAAGACCAUUUUAAUGAGUUAUUUCAAAAUUGAGAAUAUCGGUGAGGUAUAGCGAUGGAGACCAGCUGGAACAGAAGCUCUCACGUGCCCAACAGUUUUACUGAUUCCCGGUAAGUUCGCAGCACGACACCGUGCGUCAGUGCGCACAGGAAGCUGGCAGCGCUCUAUGGCAGCCCGGAUGGCGCGCACUGCGCAGGAGAGAGCGAGAGCGGCGCAUGCGCGCGGCUCGUUCUGAGAAGAGGUGAGUGCGAAGUUCACGUCCCACGACUGUUCCAUGCGCUCAGCGGAGACGGUCCUGACGGAAGAAUACAGUUUUGUGAGCGGUUUCAACACACGGACCUGUUACAGGCCGGGCGUACCUAGACGUGCUGCACUUCCGCCUCACCUGCCACGUGUGAACUUUAUGGAAGUGAUGAAUGCCUCCUUCCAUACGAUGGCAUGCCGCCACACUGUCAGAAGACCCGCGGGCUCACCUGGAUGGAGUUUGGAAGGACUACUAGGGCGAAGAGGUGCACCUGAGUACCCGCACGUUCCGAUUUAGCACCUGCAGACUGUUACCUAUGGGGGACCCUAAAGGAUGUCGUGUAUUGCAGAAAACCCGCUACACUACUACAUUGUUGUGUGUGUGUGUGGGGGGGCAGAUAAUAGGGGAAAAAAACAAAAUGAAAAGUUAUUGUAAUCCAGUGCAGGCAGUGUAUCUGAACGUGUACCUUGACUUAGUACAGUUAUCUUACAUAUUUUGUAUGUUCUUCUCCCUGUUAGUCUGGUUUUGAAUCUGUAUAUAUGAUAAUUUACCUUAUAAGGUCUUAAAUGAAUUUGAUACUGGAGAAAUAAAAGGAAGUGGGGGAGGGAUAUUGAAAUGUGCACAUGUACCAGUUCCAUAUAGUGAAUGUAAUCUUUAUGCACAGCAAGCAAGUACUAAUAAAAGUUAAUUUUUUUCUAAAACAGGAAAUUCAGUAAUAAUUGACAAAGAGUUCAGUACUCUUCUUUCUAUAACUGAUAAUAUAACUAGAAAAGAUCACUAAGGAAAUAGAAGAUUAGACAUAAUAAACCAUCCAGACUUAGCAGACAUCUAUAGAACACAUCAUCCAUCAAGUUUGGAACACAUACUCUCCUUAUUAGCACUUGAAGCAUUCUACAGGAUAAACCACAUGUUAGCUCAUGAACCAAGACAUGAAUCUGAAAAGAUUAAAAUCAUGUAAA